rnacentral:rRNA from 1 species
AAUUGAAGGCUUGUAUGAAUGGUUGGACAAAAAGCAAGCUGUCUCAAUUAUAAUAAUUGAAAUUAACUUUUAAGUGAAAAGGCUUAAAUAAAUUAAGGGGACGAUAAGACCCUAUAAAGCUUGACAAUAAGUCAUUUAUAUUAUAAAUUAUUAGUAUAACUUGAUAUUAAGUGGUGUUUGUUGCGUUGGGGCGACGAGAAUAUAAAAGGUAACUGUUCUUAUAACAUUUAAUAACAGAAAUAUCUGGAAAUUUAAUGAUCCUUUUUUAAAGAUCAUAAGAUUAAGUUACUUUAGGGAUAACAGCGUAAUCCUCCUUGAGAGUCCAUAUCGACAGGAGGGGUUGCGACCUCGAUGUUGAAUUAAGGUAUCCUUACGAUGCAGCAGUUGUAAAGGAAGGUCUGUUCGACCUUUAAAUCCUUACAUGAUUUGAGUUCAGACCGGCGUGAGCC